AGUGUGUUGGUUAUAGUGGGAACGGAAACUUUUUCAAGUUCAACGAGCAUAGUUUAGCCCACGUACCUGUGACGAUUAGCAUGUUUAUUUCCUCCUGAAUGAUCCAGCUUCCAAUAUUCCACGUGUUGAGUUAAUGACGAAAAACUAUAAUGACAAAGAUGGAUAUUGGAAUGUUCUGAUGAGUACUGCUGGAGCUCAAUACAGUUGAAGGAAGAAAUUA